ACUGCUCUUAUAAACAGAGCCGCUCUUGUUUCAGGCAACACAACGCAAAGAAGUGGAGAGGGGGCGCGAGCGUGGGAGAGGGGCAGAUGGAGGAAAGAAGGAAGGGUCUCUCACUGAUCGGUGGACGAGAGGGGUAGAAACCAUGCAUGCUCCAUGCCACAGUCUUAGAGGCAGAAUCUUGGCAACUUUUCAACUGGUUGUAAUGAGACAAUGAAUUGCUAUACCGGUUUAAGGGUUAAUGAAGAAAGCAUGGAAAAUUCCUUGAGCACUACAGUGUACUCAGCCUUAAUAUAACUGCCG